rnacentral:lncRNA from 1 species
CAUGGCGAUCUCCACCACCCUCAAACCCUGCCGCCGGCUGUUGAUCGGUUGCACGAGAACCGUCGGAUUCUUGCCGAACUGCCCCCGCCGCCUGCCCUCCGCCACCGACCACCACUCCCUCCACCGCCUCCCCCGCCCCGCCGACCCCGAACCCGCCCGGCCCCGCCCCUACGCUUCCCCGAGCCACAGGGGCAUUCUGGGAAUCCCCGCCGCCGUCUCGGACCUCCGCCGCUUCUCCACCUCCUCGGAGCCGUUCCCCGGUGGCGGCGAUAAGGCCUUUGAUAGGAUUUACAUCCAGGGCAUGGCCGUGAAGCCCC